rnacentral:tRNA from 1 species
GAGUGGUGCAAUGGGUCAGUGUGUUUGGCUUUUAACCAGAAGGUUGGUGGUUUGAACCCACCCAGGGAUG